rnacentral:ncRNA from 1 species
GAUAAGGUCUCCGGGGAUACAGGCUGAUACCGCCCAAGAGUUCAUAUCGACGGCGGUGUUUGGCACCUCGAUGUCGGCUCAUCACAUCCUGGGGCUGAAGCCGGUCCCAAGGGUAUGGCUGUUCGCCAUUUAAAGUGGUACGCGAGCUGGGUUUAGAACGUCGUGAGACAGUUCGGUCCCUAUCUGCCGUGGACGUUUGAGAUUUGAGAGGGGCUGCUCCUAGUACGAGAGGACCGGAGUGGACGAACCUCUGGUGUUCCGGUUGUCACGCCAGUGGCAUUGCCGGGUAGCUAUGUUCGGAAUAGAUAACCGCUGAAAGCAUCUAAGCGGGAAACUAGCCUCAAGAUGAGAUCUCACUGGGACCUUGAGUCCCCUGAAGGGCCGUCGAAGACUACGACGUUGAUAGGUUGGGUGUGUAAGCGCUGUGAGGCGUUGAGCUAACCAAUACUAAUUGCCCGUGAGGCUUGACCAU